ACAAGGUUAUGGUCCAACAGGACCCUAACACUAUAUCUUAGUGUGCAAAUGGGGCUUGAGUAAGGGGCCGCGCCAGAUGGAAAUGAGUGGUAAUAAACACCUGCAGCUGAUAAGACUAAUCAGUGUGCUCCGUUUCAGUCCGUCGAUGCCAAUAAAGGGAGAAAGCCAUGUUUUAGAUGGAAAAUCAGGCGGGAGCUAAAAGAGAAAGCGUGCCAAUCCCUGAGUAAGACGGGCGGAUCCCGAACUGCGAGUGUUAGCCCCAGCCGAGUUUGCUAUAGUAGAGCUGAAACCCUGUGCUGGAAGGGGGGUAUUACAAGCUACAAGCUGGAAAGGCUUUCCUAACAGCGAGGCCAUGAGUGAGCCCUGGCGUGAGUACUGGAAAGGAAAGCACUGUGGUAAAAAUUUAAGUAAAUAAAGAAAUCUCUGCUUGCCUGUCUCUCUUUCUUUCAGCACGGAACCAGUGAUUUUGCUACACUUAGCAACACCUCAAGAAUGACAUGUUGAAAGACACUAAUGAUGUUUUAUUAAACUCUUCUUUCACUGA